CGGCUUCGAUAGGAAGAAUGCC
rnacentral:snRNA from 1 species